AUGAAUCUUCAAGACAUGCUAUCUUGCUUCGCCGCUUGCCCAGCUCCCUCAUUCCGAGCACGACACCACGCGUCGGAGCUUGUCGGGAGGCACGGAAGGACGAACAGAGUUCUACCGGUGAUCCGUGUUGUCGCUGACGGUGUCAUAGGAUCUGCGGUGCACGUGGACAAGGCGAUGGGGCUGCCAACCUACCUCCUCUUCACCACAGUGCAUGUGGAUUCUUGGGCUACCACAACUUGGAUCAGCUUUUUCAAGAGGGGAUGCUUGCCAUUCAGAGGGACAGGAGCGCGAUGUCAAGCAGCAGCAGCAGGUUCUGCAGCUGACGACCCUGGUGAGUCCACGGUCGUGCUCAACUCCCGCCAGCAGGGCGCGAAGGAGUUUCCCCUUGAACCCCAUGACCUGAUUCUCAGGUUGAUUUGA
rnacentral:rRNA from 1 species